AUACGGAGGGGGUUAGCGUUGUUCGGAAUUACUGGGCGUAAAGCGCACGUAGGCGGAUUGGAAAGUUGGGGGUGAAAUCCCAGGGCUCAACCCUGGAACUGCCUCCAAAACUAACAGUCUAGAGUUCGAGAGAGGUGAGUGGAAUUCCAAGUGUAGAGGUGAAAUUCGUAGAUAUUUGGAGGAACACCAGUGGCGAAGGCGGCUCACUGGCUCGAUACUGACGCUGAGGCACGAAAGCGUGGGGAGCAAACAGGAUUAGAAACCCCGGUAGUCC
rnacentral:rRNA from 1 species